rnacentral:lncRNA from 1 species
CUGAUGCCCACCAUGGUGCUGUUCAGCCCAUCUGCUUGAGUUCCCAGGUGGCUGGGUUGAAGGCUUGAGAGCAGAGGCUGACAAACAUUGUCAGCCUGACCCAACAAAGAGAUAGAACCUUCUAGAUCUUCACCGUGUGGAGCUCAAGGCCAAGGGCUAGGCCCUAUGAUCUCUGGGUUGAUCUCCCUGCCUUGCAACAUCUUGCUCCUGACCCAGAGUGAGUGCCACACUGGCAGCUACCACAACAUGUAGGGAGGCACAAGUGAUCUGUGAGGAGAAAGUUCCUGAAGGGUUUCCCAGGACAGCCAAAGCCAGGGAGCCUGGGAGAAGUGACCCACCAGCAGCUGGUGCUGUGUGCGGCCUCUGCAGCAGUGCUGGCAGAGGACCUGGAGACUGUGCCUCAGCUCGCAGGCCUGGGGUGUGAGUAAUGAGGACUUCGGAGCCUUGGACUGGCUUUUAAUUAUGCAAUAUGUGAUGUAGACAAAAAUACAUGCAAUCAGUGGAAGGCU